UAUGUUGAACAGAAGGUUUAAAAGUGGGCAUCCUUGUCUCGUUCCUAUUCUCAGUGGGAAUGCUUUCAACUUUUCCCCAUUCAGUAUCAUGUUGGCUAUGGAUUUGUUGUAGAUGCCUUUUAUUAUGGUUGAUGUAUGUUCCUUC